rnacentral:tRNA from 1 species
GCGCUAGUAGCUCAAUUGGAUAGAGCGUUGGCCUCCGAAGCCAAAGGUUGUGGGUUCGACUCCCGCCUGGCGCA